rnacentral:rRNA from 1 species
GACGAACCGUGCGAACGUUGUUCGGAAUCACUGGGCUUAAAGGGCGCGUAGGCGGGCAACCAAGUCCGAGGUGAAAUCCUGCAGCUCAACUGCAGAAGUGCCCCGGAUACUGGCUGCCUCGAGGGAGGUAGGGGCAUGUGGAACUUCCGGUGGAGCGGUGAAAUGCGUAGAUAUCGGAAGGAACGCCGGUGGCGAAAGCGACGUGCUGGACCUCUACUGAGCUGAGGCGCGAAAGCCAGGGGAGCAAACGGG